rnacentral:misc_RNA from 1 species
CAGGUCGGCUCCUCUCAAAUGAAUCAGCUUGCCGGUGUUUGGCGGCAUCACAGGUGUGAUAACUAUCUACGCUUGUGGUUUUCCGCCAGGUAACCUCCAGCGAUGGGGGGUUCGCUGGAGCUCACAAAUGUCUCUCCUCGGCGAGGACAGGUCUUUGAACGUUUGAUCUCAAAUCAGGUAGGACUACCCGCUGAACUUAA